AUUGAACGCUGGCGGCAGGCCUAACACAUGCAAGUCGAACGAGUGGCGGACGGGUGAGUAAUGUCUGGGAAACUGCCUGAUGGAGGGGGAUAACUACUGGAAACGGUAGCUAAUACCGCAUACCAAAGAAUGUGCACAGAUGGGAUUAGCUAGUUGGUGGGGUAACGGCUCACCAAGGCGACUAUUCCUAGAUGGUCUGAGAGGAUGACAAGCCACACUGGAACUGCGACACGGUCCAGACUCCUACGGGAGGCAGCAGUGGGGAAUAUUGCACAAUGGGCGCAAGCCUGAUGCAGCCAUGCCGCGUGUAUGAAGAAGGCCUUCGGGUUGUAAAGUACUUUCAGCGGGGAGGCGUUACCCGCAGAAGAAGCACCGGCUAACUCCGUGCCAGCAGCCGCGGUAAUAC
rnacentral:rRNA from 1 species